AGUUAAAGCUUCCACGCACCAGCAAGAUGAGUUGUACCACACAGCGCCCAUGCCAAGGUCAGCAGUCUGAAUGGAGCUGAGACACUUACUGCCCGUGCCAAGCAGUGCCAAGCACCUCUGGAAGCCCCUGCCUAGGACCCCCAAAUUUAGAUUCAUGCUGCAGUCUGGAGAGUGUUUUGACGGCUGCCGGGCUACAGGGAAAAGCGCACUGCACACUGCCUCUGAGAUGAGACAGAGCUCUCCAGGCUGGGAGUCUGGGGAAGCCGGACCUGGGUAGCGCUGCUCAGCUUUGGACCAUUUUCCUAACAGAUGAGAUUUCUGGAGAUUCGCUUCUCAUUCUUUGAGGGAAAAGCGGAGCCCUGUUCAGCAUUGGUCACCAGGUUGCAGGGGCAUCACUUCCUUUAUCCAGCAUCCUGCCUCUGCACCAUGUGAAGAAACCAACCCACUUUCCAAUGGCAAACCCAAGUUCAUGCAGACCAUAUUCUCCAACGUCUGUACUUCCCCUACCAGUUGGAUCUGUGUUCUUUUGCAGUUCUGGGGACUUUUCAAGACUCUACUGACUAAAUCUGCAAAGAGUGCCGAUAAUGCAACUCUUAAGCUGGCUUUCUGAGCUAUCAUGAUGUCUUUCCCUCUCUUUGUGCCCAAGACCGUGUGCUCUCUUGCCUUUGAAGAUCCAUGAUGUUUGAAACUCAUGAGACCCAAGGCAGAAGUGUCCAGACAACUAGGAGCUAAGUCAAGCUGCUUGCAUUCGCAAGCCAGGACUUGACUGGAGGGAAUACAAUAGAGGUGCAGACACUUCUGUGCUAACCUGUGAGUGCCUUUGGACCAUGAAAAUAAUGUGUCUGUGGGAAAGACAAUGGGUGGUUGCUUGUUGAUGCCUCCUGGGGUGCUGUUUGAUGAGCUCUGAAAUACGCACUCUGCUCACACACAGGGUCACAGAAGGCACGGGGAUCUUAAGUGCACUCGUUCUAGGGUCAUCAGUGAGCUGACACUAUGUGCAGAUGAGCCCCUCUGCUUCUCCUGGAAUCAUCAUUAGAUGGCCAGGAAGGAUCUCCGUGUUGGACUCCUCCAUUCUGAUACAUCCUGUCUUCAGGGAUAGAAAAUGUUCCUGGGGGAACACGGGAGCUAAAGAAACCUCAGCUUUUCUCGAGUGUCUGGAUUAUUCUGAACUACAUGGAUUAUGUUCAAGCCCAGGAUGAGUGGCUCAAAGCGUGGCUGUGAGUGAGUGAGACGAAGAAAAAUUGGGAUCAUAUUUUAUUCAACCAAGAGAAAUGGAAUCCAGCAUAGUAGAUUUCAUGUUCUUGGGAAAUAUGUCCUGUCAAUGGUGUUAUUGAGAAGAUAGGCAGAGAACACGUUCUCCCAGACAAGGAAGAGAAGAAGAUGUGGCCUUGGCUUUGUGAGCUGUGGCAGGGAGGGACCUAGCAUGGGAGCAAAGGUCUCUGGAAGCUUCCAGACAAACAAGUGUGGGUGUCGUUUGUCAGCUCCCUGAGAGUGGGUAUCGCAGAAGACUUCCUGUGUUUUCUGUGGAUAAAUACACAAAACUAUGCAUUACUGCAACACAAGCAGGCUUUAUACAUUUCUUUGGUUUUAACAAUUGCAUUAGAAACUUUGCUCUCCCCUGAAUCCUAAGA
rnacentral:lncRNA from 1 species